UGAUUUUUUUCAGGACAGUGUAAAGCGUGUUUAAAUCUUCCAGAAAUGCAACUGUGCCCUCUUUACAGUAAUUAUAGAUGAAGCAAAGUAUGGUAGCAAGUUAUAUAGAUAUACACACAUGCCGAAGAAGAUUGUAAUAUCUGGAGAAAACAUUUCCUUCGUCAAGAAAUAGACACCGUUACACUGGUCUACGUAACAUUCCUAUUAUAGAUGAUUGAUAUAUUUAAGUGCUUUUAAGAACAGUGUUUGAAUGUCGAAUUUCUGUGAAUACGGAUUUUUAGUUUUAAUGGUUAUUAUUAAAACUUUCUGUUAUAAUCAA